rnacentral:rRNA from 1 species
AAGGGCCGCAGUAUUUUGACUGUGCUAAGGUAGCAUAAUCAUUCGUUUUUUAAUUGAAAACUAGUAUGAAUGGUUGAAUGAAAUAUUAACUGUCUUUAUUUAAUAAAAUAAAAACUUAAAUUUUUAGUUAAAAUGCUAAAAUAGCUUUUAAAGACGAGAAGACCCUAUAGAUUUUUAUUAUUAAUAUUAAUAAUUAAUUUUAUAAAAAUUUUAUUUUUAUUAUUAAUAAUUUAAUUGGGGUGAUUUAAAAAUUUAAAAAACUUUUUUUUAUUAUUUUCAUAAAUUUAUGUUUGAUUGAUCCAUUUUUAUUGAUUAUAAGAUUAAAUUACCUUAGGGAUAACAGCGUAAUUUUUUUGGAGAGUACAUAUCGAUAAAAAAGAUUGCGACCUCGAUGUUGAAUUAAAGUAUCUUUAAAUGUAGAAGUUUAAAGUAUUAGUCUGUUCGACUAAAUAAUCUUUACAUGAUCUGAGUUCAAACCG